GUGUAGAGGUGGCAGGGUAGCCUAGUGGUUAGAGUGUAGAGGUGGCAGGGUAGCCUAGUGGUUAGAGUGGAGAGGUGGCAGGGUAGCCUAGUGGUUAGAGUGUAGAGGUGGCAGGGUAGCCUAGUGGUUAGAGUGUAGAGGUGGCAGGGUAGCCUAGUGGUUAGAGUGGAGAGGUGGCAGGGUAGCCUAGUGGUUAGAGUGUAGAGGUGGCAGGGUAGCCUAGUGGUUAGAGUGUAGAGGUGGCAGGGUAGCCUAGUGGUUAGAGUGGAGAGGUGGCAGGGUAGCCUAGUGGUUAGAGUGUAGAGGUGGCAGGGUAGCCUAGUGGUUAGAGUGGAGAGGUGGCAGGGUAGCCUAGUGGUUAGAGUGUAGAGGUGGCAGGGUAGCCUAGUGGUUAGAGUGUAGAGGUGGUAGGGUAGCCUAGUGGUUAGAGUGGAGAGGUG